rnacentral:rRNA from 1 species
UACGUAGGGUGCGAGCGUUAUUCGGAAUUACUGGGCGUAAAGCGCGCGCAGGCGGUUCGUUAAGUCUGUUGUGAAAGCCCCGGGCUCAACCUGGGAACUGCAUUUGAAACUGGCGGGCUUGAGUGUGGCAGAGGGGGGUGGAAUUCCGCGUGUAGCAGUGAAAUGCGUAGAGAUGCGGAGGAACACCGAUGGCGAAGGCGGCCCCCUGGGCCAACACUGACGCUCAGGCACGAAAGCGUGGGGAGCAAACAGG